rnacentral:ncRNA from 1 species
UUUUUGGUUUUGGAAAGAUUAUUUAGUUUUUUUUUGUUUUUUACAUGAGAAUAUAAGUUGUCUAGUAUAUAAGUUGGUUUUCUAAAUGAUAAGAGAUUACAGCAUCAGUAAAAAAUAUUAGUAAAGUGAAUGAAAGUUUGAUUUAGGAAAGAAAAAGAGGAGAGGCUAAGUUUGUGCCAGCUGCUGCGGUUAUACAAGUUUUUCAAGUUAAAUGAUUUGGUAAGAAAGUAGAAAAAAGUAUAUUGAGGAAAAAAUUGAGAUUGUGUAGGUGAAAUUUUAAUUUUUUUUUUUUUUUCAUUCUCUUAAAUUUUAUUUGUUCUAUAAGAAUUUUAAGUUGAGACUGGGAUUAGAUACCCCAUUAUUUUAAGUAUUAAUUUUUUCAAUGCCUAGGUAUUAAAAUUAAAUCUUUAAACCUAAAAAACUUGGCGGUGCUUUAUAUCCUUUUAGGGGAGUCUGUUCUAUAAUUGAUAGUCCUCGUGAGAGUAAACUUUUUUUACAUGUUUGUAUACUUCUGUUGUCAGUUUACUUUUAAGAAUAUAAGUGUUGGCUUUUAAAUGUUUAUUUUUACAUCAAGUCAAAGUGCAGCUGAUAGAAAAGGAGAAAUGGACUACAUUUUGCAUGUUUGCGGAUUUUAAAUAUGGAAUAAUUAUUGAAGGUGGACUUAAAAGUAAAUUAUUUUUAGAAUGUUUAUUUGAAGAUGGUUUUAAUGUGUGUACAAAUCGCCCGUCGCUCUUUCUGUUAGGAAAGAUAAGUCGUAACAUAGUAGUGGUAAUGGAAAUUGUUGCUAGAAUUU